CGGCAAACGGGUGAGGAACACGUACGCAACCUUCCUUUAACUGGAGAAUAGCCCCUCGAAAGAGGGAUUAAUACUCCGUAACAUAUACAUGUGGCAUCACAAGUAUAUUAUAGCUCCGGCGGUUAAAGAUGGGCGUGCGCCUGAUUAGAUAGUUGGCGGGGUAACGGCCCACCAAGUCUGCGAUCAGUAACUGGUGUGAGAGCACGACCAGUCACACGGGCACUGAGACACGGGCCCGACUCCUACGGGAGGCAGCAGUAAGGAAUAUUGGUCAAUGGACGCAAGUCUGAACCAGCCAUGCCGCGUGGAGGAUUAAGGCCCUCUGGGUUGUAAACUCCUUUUAUCUGGGAAGAAAUGCAUUUUUUCUAAAGUGCUUGACGGUACCAGAGGAAUAAGCACCGGCUAACUCCGUGCCAGCAGCCGCGGUAAUACGGAGGGUGCAAGCGUUAUCCGGAUUCACUGGGUUUAAAGGGUGCGUAGGCGGGCAGGUAAGUCCGUGGUGAAAUCUCUGAGCUUAACUCAGAAACUGCCAUGGAUACUAUUUGUCUUGAAUAUUGUGGAGGUAAGCGGAAUAUGUCAUGUAGCGGUGAAAUGCUUAGAUAUGACAUAGAACACCAAUUGCGAAGGCAGCUUACUACACAGUUAUUGACGCUGAGGCACGAAAGCGUGGGGAUCAAACAGGAUUAGAUACCCUGGUAGUCCACGCCCUAAACGAUGAUUACUCGACAUCAGCGAUACACUGUUGGUGUC
rnacentral:rRNA from 1 species